rnacentral:rRNA from 1 species
GAUGAACGCUGGCGGCGUGCCUAAUGCAUGCAAGUCGAGCGGACGGACGCGAAGCUUGCUUCUCUGAUGUUUGCGGCGGACGGGUGUGUAACACGUGUAUCACCUCCCUAUAAUACUGGGAUAACUUCGGGACACCGGAGCUAAUACCGUAUAAUAUUUUGAACCGCGUGGUGCAAAAGUGAGAGACGGUCUUUCUGUCACUUAUAGAGGGAUCCGGGCUGCAUGAGCUAGUUGGUAGGCUAACGGCUUACCAAGGCAACGAUGCAUAGCCGACCGGAGAGAGGGAUAGGCGACAUGGGAAGUGGGACACGGACAAGAGUACUGCGGGAGGCAGCAGAAGGGAACGUGAGGCAACGGGCGAAAGCCUGACGGAGCAAGGCCGCGUGAGUGAUGAAGGCGUUCGGAGCGUAAAACCCGCUUAUUAGGGAAGAACAUAUGUGUAAGGAAACGUGCAGAUAGUGACGGUAACUAAUAAGAAAGCACCGGCUAACUACGUG